AAGUCGUAACAAGGUUUCCGUAGGUGAACCUGCGGAAGGAUCAUUAACACGUAUCCAAACGUUAACCCCGUGAACCUUCAGUGUACUCGUACGUCCGUUAGAAAAAGCAGCAAUCCCUGGUAAAUCAUCGCCGAACAGUUUUCGAUUCAGGGACGUCUGCAAGGAGCGUGCAUGUUGUGCGAAGCAAGUGGCCUGGCAUCCCCAAGCAGUUAGUGUCUGAAAGUGUCAUUAACUGUGUAAGGAUGACGCAGUCACGAUCGUUGGAGGCCCACACGGCCGACGACCGGGUCACUGGGCGCAAGCCCCCCUAUAACAAACGCUGCCAAUCGCGGCCGCGAUAAUACGCAGUCGACAAAAAACCGAACAACUGUUAACAAUGGAUAUCUUGGUUCUC
rnacentral:misc_RNA from 1 species